CCUACGGGUGGCAGCAGUAGGGAAUCUUCCACAAUGGGCGAAAGCCUGAUGGGGCAACGCCGCGGGGGUGAAGAAGGUCUUCGGAUCGUAAAACCCUGUUGUUAGAGAAGAAAGUGCGUGAGAGUAACUGUUCACGUCUCGACGGUAUCUAACCAGAAAGCCUCGGCUAACUACGUGCCAGCAGCCGCGGUAAUACGUAGGUGGCAAGCGUUAUCCGGAUUUAUUGGGCGUAAAGGGAACGCAGGCGGUCUUUUAAGUCUGAUGUGAAAGCCUUCGGCUUAACCGGGGAAGUGCCUUGGAAACUGGGAGACUGGAGUGCAGGAGAGGAGAGUGGAACUCGAUGUGUAGCGGUGAAAUGCGUAGAUAUAUGGAAGAACACCAGUGGCGAAGGCGGCUCUCUGGACUGUAACUGACGCUGAGGUUCGAAAGCGUGGGUAGCAAACAGGAUUAGAUACCCGGGUAGUC
rnacentral:rRNA from 1 species